AAGUGAAUGGGACUAUGUAAUAUUAUCUACUGUGCGGUCGUUGCCUAGGACACGGAUUGAGAAUCGUCCAACUUAUGGUUGGAUUAGAAGAAACCUGGGUUUUAUAUCCGAUGAGAACCAAGUGAAUGUGGCCAUAACUAGGGCUAGGAAAGGACUGGUACUCAUUGGUAACAAGUAUCUGCUAAGCUGCAAUAGCUUGUGGCAGCACAUUCUUAAGAAGUACUCUCAGGAUGGGAAGUUACUUGAUGCAGACGACUUUCUUACCAUUAUUAGUAAUGGUGGUUCAGUUUAAGAAAAUCUAUGAAAAUGUGUGAUUUUCUUGGAUAAAUUAAUAGGAAUGAAGAUGUGACAUAGUUCUUUUGAAUAAAUUAAAAACAUGUUUUCCAGAAUCAAAAACUUGUUUUUGCAAAUUGUGUUUGCCAUCUGUGUUGCUGAAAAACAAGAAAAAGUGUUUCACAACUGUUAAGUGAAGUGUUUUCGUGAAUCAAACUACGCUUAAUUUUAAUAUUUAUGUUUUGAUGUUUUCGAUGUGUUUUACUGUGCGAGUUGCACUCUAAACAUCAAUUAUUGAUUAGUCAAUCCAUGAAUAAAUAUCAAGCUCUUGAUAUCAAAAUUGCAAUCCUUGAUGAACCAGU